rnacentral:rRNA from 1 species
GAUGAACGCUGGCGGCGUGCCUAAUACAUGCAAGUCGAGCGAACAGACGAGGAGCUUGCUCCUCUGACGUUAGCGGCGGACGGGUGAGUAACACGUGGAUAACCUACCUAUAAGACUGGGAUAACUUCGGGAAACCGGAGCUAAUACCGGAUAAUAUAUUGAACCGCAUGGUUCAAUAGUGAAAGACGGUUUUGCUGUCACUUAUAGAUGGAUCCGCGCCGCAUUAGCUAGUUGGUAAGGUAACGGCUUACCAAGGCGACGAUGCGUAGCCGACCUGAGAGGGUGAUCGGCCACACUGGAGCUGAGACACGGUCCAGACUCCUACGGGAGGCAGCAGUAGGGAAUCUUCCGCAAUGGGCGAAAGCCUGACGGAGCAACGCCGCGUGAGUGAUGAAGGUCUGCGGAUCGUAAAACGCUGUUAUUAGGGAAGAACAAAUGUGUAAGUAACUAUGCACGUCUGGACGGUACCUAAUCAGAAAGCCACGGCUAACUACGU